GAUGAACGCUGGCGGCGUGCCUAAUACAUGCAAGUCGAGCGAACGGACGAGAAGCUUGCUUCUCUGAUGUUAGCGGCGGACGGGUGAGUAACACGUGGAUAACCUACCUAUAAGACUGGGAUAACUUCGGGAAACCGGAGCUAAUACCGGAUGAUAUUUUGAACCGCAUGGUUCAAAAGUGAAAGACGGUCUUGCUGUCACUUAUAGAUGGAUCCGCGCUGCAUUAGCUAGUUGGUAAGGUAACGGCUUACCAAGGCAACGAUGCAUAGCCGACCUGAGAGGGUGAUCGGCCACGCUGGAAUGGAGACACGGUCCAGACUCCUACGGGAGGCAGCAGUAGGGAAUCUUCCGCAAUGGGCGAAAGCCUGACGGAGCAACGCCGCGUGAGUGAUGAAGGUCUUCGGAUCGUAAAACUCUGUUAUUAGGGAAGAACAUAUGUGUAAGUAACUGUGCACAUCUUGACGGUACCUAAUCAGAAAGCCACGGCUAACUACGGG
rnacentral:rRNA from 1 species